GAUGAACGCUGGCGGCGUGCCUAAUACAUGCAAGUCGAGCGAACGGACGGGGAGCUUGCUCCGCUGACGUUAGCGGCGGACGGGUGAGUCACACGAGGAUAACCUACCUAUAAGACUGGGAUAACUUCGGGAGACCGGAGAUAAUACCGGAUAAUAUAUUGAACCGCAUGGUUCAUUAGUGAAAGACGGUUUUGCUGACACUUAUAGAUGGAUCCGCGCCGGAUUAGCUAGUUGGUAAGGUAACGGCCUACCAAGGCUACGAUGCGUAGCCGACCUGAGAGGGUGAUCGGCCACACUGGAACUGAGACACGGUCCAGACUCCUACGGGAGGCAGCAGUAGGGAAUCUUCGGCAAUGGGCGAAAGCCUGACGGAGCAACGCCGCGUGAGUGAUGAAGGUCUUCGGAUCGUAAAACUCUGUUAUUAGGGAAGAACAAAAGUGUAAGUAACCAUGCACGUCUUGACGGUACCUAAACAGAAAGCCACGGCUAACUUCGUG
rnacentral:rRNA from 1 species